rnacentral:rRNA from 1 species
AAUUAGUAAACGAAACUUCGGUCUAGUGAGCUAGUGGAGAGCGGCGGACGGGUGAGUAACGCGUAGGCAACCUACCCCAUACACAGGGAUAGCCUCGGGAAACCGGGAUUAAAACCUGAUGAUGCGAUUUGGUCACAUGACCUGAUCGUCAAAGAUUUAUCGGUAUGGGAUGGGCCUGCGUCUGAUUAGUUAGUUGGUGGGGUAACGGCCUACCAAGGCAGCGAUCAGUAGCCGACCUGAGAGGGUAAUCGGCCACAUUGGAACUGAGACACGGUCCAAACUCCUACGGGAGGCAGCAGUGGGGAAUAUUGCACAAUGGGCGAAAGCCUGAUGCAGCAACGCCGCGUGAGCGAUGAAGGCCUUUGGGUCGUAAAGCUCUGUCCUUGGGGAAGAAAAAAAUGACGGUACCCUUGGAGGAAGCCCCGGCUAACUACGUGCCAGCAGCCGCGGUAAUACGUAGGGGGCGAGCGUUAUCCGGAAUUAUUGGGCGUAAAGAGUGCGUAGGUGGUUUUGUAAGCGCGGGGUGAAAGGCAAUGGCUCAACCAUUGUAAGCCCUGUGAACUGCGAGACUUGAGUGCAGGAGAGGAAAGUGGAAUUCCUAGUGUAGCGGUGAAAUGCGUAGAUAUUAGGAGGAACACCAGUGGCGAAGGCGACUUUCUGGACUGUAACUGACACUGAGGCACGAAAGCGUGGGGAGCAA